CAGGACCUUCAUCUCAGCUACCCAGGGAAGGGAGAGGGGCGUAGAUGAUGAUUUAGCUAAUCAUUAUGGAAUGUAAGCUUAUGUAAUGAAGCCUCCAUAACAAACCAGACGGGACAGGGUUCACAGAGCAGGUGGUAGCUGAGCCCAGGGUUCCUGCAGGAUGGCAUGCCCAGAGGGCGGCAGCUUGGCACCCCGCCCCACAAGCCUUGCCCCCAGCAUCUCUUCUUCUGGUGUUUGCUGGUAUCCUUUGCAGAAUCUCCUCUCUCAUAAACUGUAACAUUUAACGAAACUCUUCUCCAAGGUCCGUGAGCCACUCUAGCAAACCCAGGGCACCCGAGGAGGGAGCUGUGGGAAGGAAGCUCCACUGACGGCCACAUGGUCAGAAGCCCAGGGACAGCAACCUGGGGCAUGCCAUUGGCGUCAGAAGCAGAGGGACAGUCUUGGGGACUGAGCCCCCAACCUAUGGGAUCUGACACUGUCUCCAGAAUUACAGGAGUUAGAGGUCACCCAGCAGGUGUCUGCCCAAAGCUGCUUGCUUGCCGGCUUGUGGGGCGGGAGAUGGGAUGGGUAUUCUGAAAAAAUAGGGGAUGCACAAAGAAACAGGAAGGUGGACCCCUCUGGCAGUGGGUUCUCCCCACUCCCGGGGCUCAUUGCUCUGUUCUGUGUUAGCUGAUGAAGGACAGACCUCUGCGGCCACCCGUGACAGACAGCAUAGACUACUGAACUAGUUUAGAACAGUCACCAAACAACUCUAUAGCAAAAGCAACAAGCCCCUGGGAGUGGCGGGAACCUGAUGGCCAGAGUUGUUACAUCAUCAUCAUCACCAUCAUCAUCAUUAUUAAAAAUGUCCACUUUAAAAAUAUUAGGAGAUAUGAAAAAAAAAGUAGGGAUCAUACACAGGAAAAUUCAACAGAUAUAAACUGUCUCUGAGGAAGCCCAGAUGUUGGAUUUACUCCACUUGAAGCCAGUUACUCUAAUAAGGCCAAAGAACCAAAGAACCAAACCCAAGAAGCUCAACAUCACCCAGCAUCACGGAAACGCAGCUCAAAACCAGAAGAAACAAAGGUAAUGAAGUAUUGGUGCUAUCACAGCAGGGAUGGAUCUGGAAAACACCACGGAUGCCAUCUGCCAUGCUGGGACACAGCCAAAGUGGCCCUCAACAGAGACCACGUAGAUGGGGGCCACCCAAUCUUGGACUUUCACCCUCCCAAACUGUAAGCUAAAUAAACCUCUUUGGGAGGUUAGAGUUGUAACUCAGUGGCAGAGCACUUGCCUAGCAUUCACAAGCUCCUGGACUCCAUCCCCAGCACCACAAAAGAAUAAAAAUAAAAGUUUUUUCUUUAUAAAGUAUCCAGCCUCAGGUAUUGUGUUAUACAAAUGGAAAAACAAACUAGUAUAGUGUAUGACCUCAUUUAUGAUUUUUAAAAAAGCUAUGUGUUUAUGUGCCAUGUACAAUACAAAUGCAUGAAAAUGUA